rnacentral:rRNA from 1 species
UACAGAGGUCUCAAGCGUUGUUCGGAAUUACUGGGCGUAAAGGGUGCGCAGGCCGCGCGGGCAGUCAAAUGUGUAAUCCAGGGGCUCAACCCCCUGAACUGCGCUUGAUACUUCCGCGCUCGAGCUUUGGAGAGGAGUCUGGAAUUCUCGGUGUAGCAGUGAAAUGCGUGGAUAUCGAGAAGAACACUUAGGGCGUAGGCAAGACUCUGGACAAAUGCUGACGCUCAUGCACGAAGGCUAGGGUAGCGAACGGGG